ACAAAAACAUGUCCUCUUGAUUAUAUUUUGAGGUCUGGCCUGCUCACUGAUAAAUUUAAAGAGCCGCGGUAUUUUGACCGUGCAAAGGUAGCAUAAUCAUUAGUCUUUUAAUUAAGGGCUGGAAUGAAUGGCUUGACGAGAAAUUAACUGUCUCUUAAUAAUUUAUAAAAUUUAACUUUUGAGUCAAAAGGCUUAAAUUUUUCUUUAGGACGAGAAGACCCUAUAGAGCUUAACAUAUAAUUUAUAUUUAUACAUUAGAUGAUUUUUAUAUAUUUAAUGAUAAUGUUUUGUUGGGGUGACAUGAAGAAUUAAUAAACUCUUCAUUAUAAAAUCAUUAAUUUAUGUUUAUUUUUGAUCCAUAAUUUAUGAUCAUAAGAUUAAGUUACCUUAGGGAUAACAGCGUAAUUGUUUUUGAGAGCUCAAAUCAACAAAGCAGAUUGCGACCUCGAUGUUGGAUUAAGAAAAAUUUUGGG
rnacentral:rRNA from 1 species